CGGGGCGUAGCGCAGUCUGGUAGCGCACUUGCAUGGGGUGCAAGGGGUCGCGAGUUCAAAUCCCGCCGUUCCGACCA
rnacentral:tRNA from 1 species